UACAGAGGUCUCAAGCGUUGUUCGGAUUCAUUGGGCGUAAAGGGUGCGUAGGCGGCGCGGUAAGUCGGGUGUGAAAUUUCGAGGCUUAACUUCGAAACUGCAUUCGAUACUGCCGUGCUUGAGGACUGGAGAGGAGACUGGAAUUUACGGUGUAGCGGUGAAAUGCGUAGAUAUCGUAAGGAAGACCAGUGGCGAAGGCGGGUCUCUGGACAGUUCUGACGCUGAGGCACGAAGGCCAGGGAGCAAACG
rnacentral:rRNA from 1 species